ACGGCUCAGUAACACGUGGAUAACCUGCCCUUGGGUCCGGCAUAACCCCGGGAAACUGGGGAUAAUUCCGGAUAACGCACAUAUGCUGGAAUGCUUUAUGCGUAAAAUGGAUUCGUCUGCCCAAGGAUGGGUCUGCGGCCUAUCAGGUAGUAGUGGGUGUAAUGUACCUACUAGCCAACAACGGGUACGGGUUGUGAGAGCAAGAGCCCGGAGAUGGAUUCUGAGACAUGAAUCCAGGCCCUACGGGGCGCAGCAGGCGCGAAAACUUUACAAUGCGGGAAACCGUGAUAAGGGGACACCGAGUGCCAGCAUCAUAUGCUGGCUGUCCGGGUGUGUAAAAUACACCUGUCAGCAAGGGCCGGGCAAGACCGGUGCCAGCCGCCGCGGUAACACCGGCGGCCCGAGUGGUGAUCGUGAUUAUUGGGUCUAAAGGGUCCGUAGCCGGUUUGGUCAGUCCUCCGGGAAAUCUGACGGCUUAACCGUUAGGCUUUCGGGGGAUACUGCCAGGCUUGGAACCGGGAGAGGUAAGAGGUACUACAGGGGUAGGAGUGAAAUCUUGUAAUCCCUGUGGGACCACCUGUGGCGAAGGCGUCUUACCAGAACGGGUUCGACGGUGAGGGACGAAAGCUGGGGGCACGAACCGGAUUAGAUACCCGGGUAGUCCCAGCCGUAAACGAUGCUCGCUAGGUGUCAGGCAUGGCGCGACCGUGUCUGGUGCCGCAGGGAAGCCGUGAAGCGAGCCACCUGGGAAGUACGGCCGCAAGGCUGAAACUUAAAGGAAUUGGCGGGGGAGCAC
rnacentral:rRNA from 1 species